CGGUAGCCCACGGCCACAGCACGGCAUGACAUACCCGGACCCGGCCCGACAUUACAGUCUUUCGCUGCCUGAAGUUAGGAAUCGUGCAGACGGGAUAUGCAUGCGGCGAUUUUUGUUGCAACUAGCCUACGUGCUACAUGCAUCACUUUACUGGGGAGUGAUCUUUACCAGCCGUUCUGAUCAGCCCUCUCUCAUCUCAAAUAACGUGUUUGAUUUGACAUAGUGCAACAAACUGGAGUUUAUGCAUCAUGUUACUGGGGACAGUGGUUUUACGUCUCAUCAACCCUCUUCGAUCUCAAAUAUGUGCUUGGAUUUUGACCAGCAUGGAGUUCAUGCACCAUGAUACUGGGGAGUGGUUUUACCUGCUACGUCUCAUCAACCCUCUUUGAUCUCAAAUAUGUGCUUGAUUUUGACAGUGCAACAAACCAGCAUGGAGUUCAUGCAUCAUGUUACUGGGGAGUGGUUUUACCUGCUACGUCUCAUCAACCCUCUUUGAUAUCAAAUACUUCUUUGAUUUUGAUGUAGUGCAAUAAACCAGCAUGGACUUCAUGCAUCAUAUACUGGGGAGUGGUUUUACCUGCCACAUCUCAUCAACCCCUCUUUGAUUUCAAAUGCGUGUUUGAUGAGUUGCAAUAGUGCAAUAAGCCAGCAUGGAGUUCAAAACCCGAUUUACUCAUUUGAAGUAACUGGGUGAAAUCUCAGCCUGUUUUGGCUCAGUCGUCAGUGUCCAUGCCAAAGAAGUUGUAGAGCACGGUGUGGAAGGACUAAGGUGGUGAUCAGACUUGAUUGUUCUCCCUACAUCGAGGGAAAAGGCUGCCUUGCAGUAAAGAGCAGCUGGUAUCUACUAAGUGGGUUAUCUCUGGCAGACCAAGAAGUUGAAGGAUACAUUAUCAUUAAAAUUAUAACGUUUAUUAAUACAAGUGUACCAUUUUGAGCUUUCUAUAUUUUUUCGAACAGCAAAACUAAUAUGUGGAUAAAAUAUCUUCCAUAUAAAGACUAAAGAUGAAACAAUAAAGAACACCUAAUUAUC